UACGUAGGGGGCUAGCGUUGUCCGGAAUUAUUGGGCGUAAAGCGCGUGUAGGCGGCUUGUUAAGUCCGGUGUGAAACCUCGGUGGCUCAACCCCGAGCGUGCACUGGAAACUGGCUUGCUAGAGUCCGGAAGAGGAGAUUGGAAUUCCUGGUGUAGCGGUGAAAUGCGCAGAUAUCAGGAAGAACACCCGUGGCGAAGGCGGAUCUCUGGGACGGUACUGACGCUGAGACGCGAAAGCGUGGGGAGCAAACAGG
rnacentral:rRNA from 1 species